AUUAAAUAGGUCGUUAGGUGCUCUAUUAAAAGAGGUAAAAGGGAAAGUAGUUAAAGACUACUAUAGCUCCCGCUACUGUAAAUGAGGAUGAAAUCUAAAUUACCAUCCGUAAGGAGAAGGAUCCCGCAUCUUUUAAGAUGCGGUU
rnacentral:ncRNA from 2 species